rnacentral:rRNA from 1 species
CCAAUGCUUCUAAUUUCAUAGCAAGCUCGCUUGCUAUGAAAUAGGCAACCAGUAAUAUAAGCAAGUGUGUGCUAUUUAUAGCGCUAGCCUACAAACCUAUAAUUAUAUUAACUCUAAGAGAAAUUUAAUAAUAAACGAAGUGAAUUGAAAUAUCUUAGUAACUUUAGGAAAAGAAAUCAAAAGAGAUUCUAUGAUUAGCGUGAGCUAAAAUAGACUAGCCUAAAAAGUCAAAUGGUGGAUAAACUGUUUAAAUUAAAUGGGGAACCUUCCUCAAAGGCUAAAUAUAAUAUAUAAGCGAUAGUGGAAAGUACCGUGAGGGAACCAAAACAAAAACAGUGAUUUUAUAAGCAGUUCGGUAAAAAUAAAAAAAAGUUAGAACGUACCUUUUGCAUAAUGGGUCACCAAGUUAACAUUAGAUGCGAGUAGGAGGGAGCAGCCCCGUGCAUACGUAGUUAAACCGAGCGUUAAAAUAACGGUAAGUAUCUAAAGUUAGACCCGAAGCCUGGUGAUUUUACCAUAAUCAGGAUUAUAAAAGUCCGAACGGAAUAUUGUAGCAUAAAUAUCCGAAGAAUUAUGGUAGGUGUAGUGAAAGACAAUACUGACCAGGAUAGCUGGUUUUCUGCGAAACCUAUAACAGUAGGCAAUUUAAGUAUAAUAUCUUAGCAGGUACAGAAUUUAAUCUCAGACAAGACAUAAGGCUUAGCUUGUUAGCAAGUAAAGCUCAUGUUUUAUUUUGUACAAAUUGGGGGAUCAUGAAGAUUUUAUCAGUGAGUAUGUAGACUCGGAAUGGCAAAGAUAUAUCUUAAAUCAUCAGACAUAGAAUGAUAAGGUUGUAUGUCAAAAGGGAAACAGCCCAGAACAAGAGUUAAGGUUCCUAAAUUAUUAGUUGAGUGAAAUUAAGAAGGUUUUUAUUAAAGUCGACAAGGAGAUAGGCUUAGAAGCAGCCAUAAUUUUAUGACCUCGUAACAGAGCGCUUGUUAAGUUUUAAAAGCAUCGAAAAUUUAUCGGAUCUAAACAAUAUACCGAAACCUUGUCCAUAUUAUUUUAUAAUUAAAGCUUAAUUAUAAUUAAAUGGGGUAGCAGAACGUUGAGCUAAAUUAAGAUUUUUAUUUUUUAAAUGAAAUUAUAAUAAUUUAACUCAAGUGAUAAUGGUGACAUGAGUAACUAAAAGAAAAAAUAAAAUUUUUCCGCCUAAAGCUUAUGGAUGUAAUUAAGUAACGGCCUCUAAGUUUAUAUUAUCUAAAGAUUUAAACGAUGAGAUAAUCUUUUGUACUAAGGACGACAUUUUAAGUGAAAAAUGUACUGGAAAAAUAGUACUAAAUUAAUGGCUAUAGCUAAUUAGGGCUAUAAAAAAAAAUUUAUUUUUUUUUAUAAAGCUCGCUAUAGCUAUAAAUGAAAAGUAACCGUACCUAGAAUCUGAAACAAGUAAGCUAGUAGAGAAUACGAAGGCGUAAAUGAGCUAACAAUCAUAAAGGAACUCGGCAAAUUGACUACCGUAACUUCGGGAUAAGGAGAGCUCAUUAUUCUUGAUUAAUAUCAGGUAAAGAGGAAGAAGCAUGAAAUAGUGUUGUACGACUGUUUAAUUAAAACACAGCACUUUGCUGAAAGAUUAAAAAUCUAAGUAUAGAGUGUGAUGUCUGCCCGGUGCCGGCUGGUUAACAGAUAUAAUUAAAUAUACUAAUAUUUGAUGUAGACGGAAACCCCGGUUAAAGGCGGCCUUAACGUGAGGGUCCUAAGGUAGCGAAAUGCCUUGGCCGUUAAAUGCGGUCUUGCAUGAAUGAUGUAACGAUACAACAGCUGUCUCUAUGAUUGACUCAGUGAAAUUGGAAUAGCUGUGCAGAUACAGUUUACCUCUAGUUAGACGAGAAGACCCUAUGCAGCUUUACUGUCACUAAUUAUAGAGUAUGAUAAACAAUUUUCAGAUUAUAAGGUAAUUGACGGCUAGCUUGUUCAGCAAGCUAGCUCUAUGACAAUGAGAAUCCUUUAUUUUUUUUUCAUAUGAAUGAAUUGGUUUAGGAUUAUGAGUAGGUAGCUGCUUCUGCUACUUGGCGCAAGCAUUGCUUGCGUCAAGUGUCUGAAGUAUGCAUUCCAGCUCAUGCAUAGUAAAUCAACCUAAUUCAGCUUAUUUUCCUUUCUGCCAUAAGCGCAUAAUGAUAGAUUUAACUUAAAUUUUGAUUUAUGCCGAGCCCCUCCGGGGCUACUGCAGAAAUAGAUAAGUACCCUUGGCUAAGGAACUAUCGCUAGGGGACAGUUUAUGUGGGGCACAGACCCUGUAAAGAGUAAACAGGAGUGUCUAAUAAUUUAUAAUUAUUUUGUUUGCGAUUUAAGAUAGUGAAACUAUUUUUAAUCAUAUAAAAUUAUUUAUAUGUACAUUCGUUGUAUAUAUAUUUAAAAAAAGGUAGGAUUUUCACUAUAUAGAAAUUAGAGAUAAUAAAAAUAUUAAGAAUAUACCUUUCAGGUAACACUAAUAUUUUUUAGCUAUUAAGACAGGCUAUCAAGCUAGGCUCUAAUAGUUAUGUAUUAAUUAUCUAAAAAGCUCAACGGCUAAAUCUUGCCUUACUGUUUGAUUAUCA